GACAUAGGUCGCAAACGUUAUCCGGAAUUAUUGGGCGUAAAGGAUGCGUAGGUGGUCAGACAAGUUAUCAGUGGCAAAUCAGGGCUCAACCCUGUGGAAGUUGGUAAUACUGUCCGACUCGAGGGCAGGAGAGGUUGACGGAACUCCAUGUGGAGCGGUGAAAUGCGUAGAUAUAUGGAAGAACACCAAUAAGGCGAAAGCAGUUAACUAUGCUGUUCCUGACAUUGAGGCAUGAAAGCGUGGGGAGCAAAACGG
rnacentral:rRNA from 1 species